GUGCCAGCAGCCGCGGUAAUACGUAGGGCGCAAGCGUUAUCCGGAAUUAUUGGGCGUAAAGAGCUCGUAGGCGGUUUGUCGCGUCUGCCGUGAAAGUCCGGGGCUUAACUCCGGAUCUGCGGUGGGUACGGGCAGACUAGAGUGCAGUAGGGGAGACUGGAAUUCCUGGUGUAGCGGUGAAAUGCGCAGAUAUCAGGAGGAACACCGAUGGCGAAGGCAGGUCUCUGGGCUGUAACUGACGCUGAGGAGCGAAAGCAUGGGGAGCGAACAGGAUUAGAUACCCUGGUAGUCC
rnacentral:rRNA from 1 species